rnacentral:rRNA from 1 species
UACAGAGGGUGCGAGCGUUAAUCGGAAUUACUGGGCGUAAAGCGCACGUAGUCGGCUUUGCAAGUCGGGUGUGAAAUCCCCGGGCUCAACCUGGGAACUGCAUCCGAGACUGCAUUGCUAGAGUAUGGGAGAGGGAAGCGGAAUUUCUGGUGUAGCAGUGAAAUGCGUAGAUAUCGGGAGGAACACCAGUGGCGAAGGCGGCUUCCUGGCCUGUUCUUGACGCGUGAGG